GAUGACGUCACGGUUAAGAAUAGCCCCGGCCUGGGCCGCUCGGAGCCGGGGGGAGCCGCAGCUCCCAGUCAGGUGCGGCCGCGAUGGCGCCGAGCGCGGCGAGAACAGAGGCGGCGCCGAGCGAGUGGGAUCGGUUUGAGUACGAUUACGACUCUCUGCGCCUCGGGGGUCUCAUCGUGGCCGGGAUCUUCUUCGUGCUCGGUGUCGUCCUCAUCCUCAGUG